rnacentral:misc_RNA from 1 species
GUGAAUCAUCGAAUCUUUGAACGCAAAUUGCACUUUCUGGUAUUCCGGAAAGUAUGCCUGUUUGAGGGUCAGCUAAAUAAAAUUCGGUGUUCUUGCUGCUUUCCGUAGUGACGAGUCGGAAUUGAGUUGUCUUACCUUCGGUUAAGAGACUUAAAUUUUUGCAUGAUUUUCGAACAUAUUUAAAUCGCUUACGUACGUUUGAGAUACCGAAUGCUUAUUAGGUUCGGUCAUUCUCAUGAUUCGCGCCUAUACUUUUUCAUUAAAUGACUUCAAAUCAGGUAAGCAUACCAGUUGAACUUAA